rnacentral:rRNA from 1 species
UUCCGUAGUGAGAACCUGCGGAAGGAUCAUUA